rnacentral:snoRNA from 16 species
UCUUAAUGAUGAUAUUUAGAGUCUCACGACGUCUGAACGAAAUGUGACGCAACUACACUCUCCUGAU